rnacentral:rRNA from 1 species
UUUUAUAUCAACUGUCUUAGACUUGUGAGCUCUCUGUCAGAGCUCAUAAAGUAAGCAGAGUCAGGCCAGGUCAGUACUUGGAUGGGAAACCUCUUUGACAGAAAAGCAAGCUAUAGUCAAGC